rnacentral:rRNA from 1 species
UAACCUGCCCAAGANAUCGGGAUAACACCUGGAAACAGAUGCUAAUACCGGAUAACAACAGAUGAUGCCUAUCAACUGUUUAAAAGAUGGUUCUGCUAUCACUCUUGGAUGGACCUGCGGUGCAUUAGCUAGUUGGUAGGGUAACGGCCUACCAAGGCGAUGAUGCAUAGCCGAGUUGAGAGACUGAUCGGCCACAUUGGGACUGAGACACGGCCCAAACUCCUACGGGAGGCAGCAGGC